rnacentral:rRNA from 1 species
UACGGGGGGGGGCAAGCGUUGUUCGGAAUUACUGGGCGUAAAGGGCUCGUAGGCGGCCAACUAAGUCAGACGUGAAAUCCCUCGGCUUAACCGGGGAACUGCGUCUGAUACUGGUUGGCUUGAAUCCGGGAGAGGGAUGUGGAAUUCCAGGUGUAGCGGUGAAAUGCGUAGAGAUCCGGAGGAGCACCAGUGGCGAAGGCGACACGCUGGGCCGUACCUGACACUGAUGCGCGACAGCAUGGGGAGCAAACAGG